rnacentral:rRNA from 1 species
CCGCUGAACUUAAGCAUAUCAAUAAGCGGAGGAAAAGAAACCAACAGGGAUUGCCCUAGUAACGGCGAGUGAAGCGGCAACAGCUCAAAUUUGAAAUCUGGCUCUUUUAGAGUCCGAGUUGUAAUUUGCAGAGGGCGCUUUGGCUUUGGCAGCGGUCCAAGUUCCUUGGAACAGGACGUCACAGAGGGUGAGAAUCCCGUACGUGGUCGCUGGCUAUUGCCGUGUAAAGCCCCUUCGACGAGUCGAGUUGUUUGGGAAUGCAGCUCUAAAUGGGAGGUACAUUUCUUCUAAAGCUAAAUAUUGGCCAGAGACCGAUAGCGCACAAGUAGAGUGAUCGAAAGAUGAAAAGCACUUUGGAAAGAGAGUCAAACAGCACGUGAAAUUGUUGAAAGGGAAGCGCUUGCAGCCAGACUUGCUUACAGUUGCUCAUCCGGGUUUCUACCCGGUGCACUCUUCUGUAGGCAGGCCAGCAUCAGUUUGGGCGGUAGGAUAAAGGUCUCUGUCACGUACCUCCUUUCGGGGAGGCCUUAUAGGGGAGACGACAUACUACCAGCCUGGACUGAGGUCCGCGCAUCUGCUAGGAUGCUGGCGUAAUGGCUGUAAGCGGCCCGUCUUGAAACACGGACCAAGGAGUCUAACAUCUAUGCGAGUGUUUGGGUGUCAAGCCCGAGCGCGUAAUGAAAGUGAACGGAGGUGGGAACCCGCAAGGGUGCACCAUCGACCGAUCCUGAUGUCUUCGGAAGGAUUUGAGUAAGAGCAUGGCUGUUGGGACCCGAAAGAUGGUGAACUAUGCUUGAAUAGGGUGAAGCCAGAGGAAACUCUGGUGGAGGCUCGCAGCGGUUCUGACGUGCAAAUCGAUCGUCAAAUUUGGGCAUAGGGGCGAAAGACUAAUCGAACUAUCUAGUAGCUGGUUCCUGCG